UACGUAGGGGGCAAGCGUUGUCCGGAUUUAUUGGGCGUAAAGAGCUCGUAGGCGGCUUGUCGCGUCGUCUGUGAAAUCCCGCGGCUCAACCGCGGGUCUGCAGUCGAUACGGGCAGGCUAGAGUUCGGUAGGGGAGACUGGAAUUCCUGGUGUAGCGGUGAAAUGCGCAGAUAUCAGGAGGAACACCGGUGGCGAAGGCGGCAUCCUGGACCAACACUGACGCUGAGGAGCGAAAGCCAGGGGAGCAAACGGG
rnacentral:rRNA from 1 species